rnacentral:lncRNA from 1 species
GAAUCUCUGGCCAGAGUAUAUGAAUGAGAUUGGGGAAUGCGUUCCAAAUCACAUUCAAGGAAAUCAUAUAAGCAAACGAUUCACAUUGGAUAGUAGACAUGAGUAAAUAAACUAUCAUACCAAACAAUGUGGUCAAGAGUAUUAGAUUAGAGAAUGACCGUAUUGCAUUUGUAAUCCCGAACUGAAUAGGUUCUCUAACCUCUUCUGAUUAGCUUGGGUA